UACAGAGGUCUCAAGCGUUGUUCGGAUUCAUUGGGCGUAAAGGGUGCGUAGGCGGCGCGGUAAGUCGGGUGUGAAAUUUCGAGGCUUAACUUCGAAACUGCAUUCGAUACUGCCGUGCUUGAGGACUGGAGAGGAGACUGGAAUUUACGGUGUAGCGGUGAAAUGCGUAGAUAUCGGGAGGAACACCGGUGGCGAAGGCGGGUCUCUGGGCAUCUCCUGACGCUGAGGCGCGAAAGCGUGGGGAGCAAACGGG
rnacentral:rRNA from 1 species